rnacentral:misc_RNA from 1 species
GAUGAGAACGUAGUGAAAUGCGAUAAGUAGUGUGAAUUGCAGAAUUUAGUGAAUCAUCGAAUCUUUGAACGCACAUUGCGCCCCUCGGUAUUCCGUGGGGCAUGCCUGUUCGAGCGUCAUUUAACCCCUCAAGCCUAGCUUGGUAUUGGGUGCUUGUCCCGCCUCUCGCGCGGCGACUCACCUCAAAGUCAUUGGCAGCCCGCAUCUCGCCGGCCGUGAGCGCAGCACAGACGCGCUCUUGGCAACGACGGAUCGGCUCUCCAAAAGCUUAUUUCAACCACUGACCUCGGAUCAGGUAGGGAUACCCGCUGAACUUAAGCAUAUCAAUAAGCGGAGGA